rnacentral:rRNA from 1 species
GUCUAUGGCCACGCCACCCUGAACGAGCCCGAUCCCGUCUGAACUCCGAAGCUCAGCAGGGUCGGGCCUGGUUAGUUCUUGGAUGGGAGACCACCUAGGAAGACCAGGUGCUGUAGGCA